GCUGAUCUUGUACGGCGAGCUUUAAACUAGGUUUCUCGGGGGAAGGCGAUGCAGAGGUGCAGGAGGACACUUCAACAUGAAGCCAGGUGAUGCAAGCAGGAACAACCCAGUUUUUGCCUGAGGCCCAGGGAGUGUGGUGGAGCAAAACCCCCAAGAGAAGAGAGAGAGAGAAGAAAAGUACUGGAGACGCGGGGGCCUGACGUGUGACUUCGUCAUGACACCUACUGAAGUCCUCAUAACUGAACUUUUUGUAACCAAUAUACUUAUGUGUAUUUGUGUUUGUAUUGGUUAUUAUUUGAUUCGAUCUGUUGAGGACGAUCUUUUUUCAUUGUAUGCUUUUGUGUAUACCCGGUUACCAUAUGACGAGAGAGAUGAUGACGAUUUAAACGACGUGCAUGUCCUCCAAUUCCAGCUGUGCCAUCGGCAAGGGGGCAUGUCAGAACUUAGUAGUUAAGUGCCUCGGCACAGUGAAAUUUUCUAGCACAGUGAAGCUUUUCGGCACGGUGAAAUUUCUGCUGCGGGGGACAACCCCGAUGCAGAAAAGUUCCCGCCAUCCCUAUGUAAAUACGCACACCAUUAUUGGCUGGUUCUAAAUUAUCCCUACGUGGCAACUAACAAUUGGUUCGCUAGCCGUAUAAAAGUUAGACCAGUUUCCGCCCACGUUGGAGAAUUCCGCGCCCAUCUCGGAGUGAACGUGGUGGCCCGAUCAACCACCAAUAACUCCCCGUCAUCGACUUUCCCGAUGUACCCCGUGCCCUGCAUGCUCAUUGAAUUGUUGUACUCCGUGUUCUGCAUGCUCGUUGAAUUAUCACGGACAGUUCAUCUUGGUUUAAAGAGCUCUCGUCUGGUUGCAACUGAAGUUAACUUUCUGCCUACGCUGUAUUCAUCGACGGUGUAAGUAAAGCAAUCUCUUUGUUUAACUGAUACGCUUCCGUGCCUAAUUCUACUCCAUCGGUCAAAAGUACCCGCCUGCCGUUUCGGGGCUACUGGCCGCAGCCCGGCCUACCACUCGACCGCCACAAUAGGAAGUUAUUAUGAUGAGAGAGCACCUUCAGUGGUGUGGAGAGAAAGGAAGGUGGAUUGGAUGAGGUCAAAGAAGGAGUAUGUUUAGCUUUUAAGCAUUUUAGAUGAUUAUUUAUGAUAGUUAAUUUGCUGUUCCUUUACUUUAACCUUUUCUGUACCAUUGGAACAUUUGAACAGGCCAAAAUGUCCAGACUGGCUUUUCCUGGUGUGAGUCAUCUUGAGGGAAAUGUAGUCCUGUUCUGUUUGUUUUGUCAUUGAAACAGGAGUGCUGUUUAUUCACUGUAAAUUAUUGUUAACACAUAGAUACUGUAAGAAAACUGACUGCAGCUCAGGUUUAAAUCAGAAUGUUUAAUGAUCUGACAAUGUUAGCAGAGCAAGCAUGUAUUACAGGAAGAACUGAAUCUUGCUCUUUUAAAAUGUCUGGCAACGAUUUUCUCUAAAACCAGCAGAGCGGCAGAAGAAUGAAUACUUUUAACAGGUCCUUUACGAAACUGCAUUCCCUUAGGGGAGAAAAUAUGAAUGCAUUAGGGCUGAGCAGAUUUGUUCUAAUUGCUGGGUAGAAAGUGAGAUCUGUUACUUGCAUUUGGUCUGGUUGCAGAGAGAGUAGCCUUGGUAAAAAGGAAACUGUAGAUUUAAAAUGCAGCUUUCCUAUGUUAAAGCCUUUGCUGACUUGUUCCUCGUGCAAUCCCAGGAUAGCCAAUGGCCAAGUUCCAGAGUCCAGCUGAGCUGUUCUUCCAACCACCUUUAUGCUUCUCUGGGACCAGUCAGAGACAGGCUAGUCUUUGAUGUAAGUUCAAGCAUCCUCAGAGUUAUUCUUGCUUGUGUCAAACUGCCCACUACUCCAUGGAACUGUCAUGGUGUAGCAAAACCCCCAGUUUUUCUUUUUAUUUUGAAAUACAUUCCCUCCCUUCCCCAACUAUUUCUGACUUUUUCUCUUUCUCUGUAUUCCCUAUAGAUAAGUAUGAGUGAGCUAAGACAUGGAAUAAGCUUUAGCAUUUUUGUAGCAAGCUUUUUUUUUUCCUUCUCUCUCCUUUGAUCCACUGUUUUAUAUUGUAUAAUUAUUAUAUUUAUAUUGAUUUUUACUGUGUGAUUACUGUUUUACUAAUUUUUACUGUUUUUUUUCUAUUGAUACUAUAUGAUUUAGGCCUACAUGUGUAAAUUAGCAUAAGUCAUGUCAAGUUAUGUCAAGUUUCCAUUUUGUAUGUCAAGCCUCCAUCUUGUGUCCUUUGCCCGGGUGUAACCUAUGCCUCAUGUCUAACCAGUCUCAUGUAAAUUGGUUCCUGAAUGAAUGGGGAUGAAUGAGGGUUCUUGAGAUACAAUAGCAGCAGGUCUCUACUGAAUAAUUAACUCAACAGCUGGACCAUCAGCUCAACGACCCAACCAUCACCCUGCAUUGACCAUCCCUGGCUCAAGAUUUGGAAGACAAAGACUGCUGCAGAAACCAGCUAACCCACCAUUACAGACACUGAAACUGCAUGUCCUAGCCUAGAGUGCAUAUGCUCAGUACACCAGGGGCUCACCCUUGCCUGGGCAUGCCGUUGCCACUAGGGUCAUAGAAGGUCUGCCCCUAUAAUAGGGGGCCGUGAAGACAGACCCGGUGGGAUGUCCUCUCCAUCUGGACCAGCACCAUGCCACAUCACUUAUCCACCCAGAGGCCCUGCCCGUGGCCCCCCUCUGGACAACACCUUGCUGGAGAAGACCCCAACUAGCCAUCAAGGAUCAACUCAUAGCCUGGGAUAGGUAGCUAUCACCCACCUUCCUUUCCCAAGCAAAGGACCUGGACUCUGUCCCUAUACACCUUGACUUCAAUCCCUCCACCAAACCUUUUUCUCUCCUGCUACCAUUGUGUGUGUGUGUGUGUGUGUGUGUGUGUGUGUGUGUGUAGGAACCAAUAACUUCAUGGGGCUGUGUAGUGUGUUGUCUGUUUAAUAAACCUGUUAUUUUGAAA